rnacentral:sRNA from 1 species
UCUUAAACCCGACAGGAGCAGAAAUACUUUUUGUAGCUCCUUCGACAGGCUCAGGAUGACAAUAGCAAAAAGAUUGUAGCGUAUGGCGGGACUAUCG